rnacentral:rRNA from 1 species
GGAGUCUUCCGCAGUGGACGAAAGUCUGACGGAGCAACGCCGCGUGAACGAAGAAGGCCUUCGGGUCGUAAAGGUCUGUUGUUAGGGAAGAACAAGUACCAGAGUAACUGCUGGUACCUUGACGGUACCUAACCAGAAAGCCACGGCUAACUACGUGCCCGCAGCCGCGGGAAUACGUAGGUGGCAAGCGUUGUCCGGAAUGAUUGGGCGUAAAGCGCGCGCAGGUGGUUCCUUAAGUCUGAUGUGAAAGCCCACGGCUCAACCGUGGAGGGUCAUUGGAAACUGGGGAACUUGAGUGCAGAAGAGGAAAGUGGAAUUCCAAGUGUAGCGGUGAAAUGCGUAGAGAUUUGGAGGAACACCAGUGGCGAAGGCGACUUUCUGGUCUGUAACUGACACUGAGGCGCGAAAGCGUGGGGAGCAAA